CAUUAUCAAUCACUACAGGGGCUUGGGUUGCUGCUGUGGCGUGGGUUUGAUCCUUGGCCUGGGAAUGUCCACAUGCUGCAGGUGCAGCCAAAAAAAAAAAAAUUAAAAUUUUCCUUUUCACCUGUACCAGGCAGCUCAACUUUUGCUUUGCCCAGGACAGUCCUGGUUUAUACUCCUUAUCAUAUUGUAUUUAUUAACUAUACCCUGUUUUACUACUAAGAGUAUCUUAGGUUGGAUGAUAAAUAAUAUGAUUGCCCUGAUGGAGCUGAAGUUCAUAUUCCAUAAAAUGUGCCCCUCCCCUGUGCCAUGGAUUGUGGGUGGGAGCUUGUACAAGGUCAUGGCAGUAUUGGCUAUACUUUUGCCAAAAGUAAUGACUAGUGCAAACCUAUUACUAUAGCUAUCCCACUUGAGCAGGUAUUCUCCUAAGGUAACUCUUGACCCGUGGUUUGUGCAUGACAGUGAUGGCCGUGAAAGCUACAGGGAGAGUGGGUCCUCCCUGAGAUGGCACCUGGUAGGCUCAGUGGAUGGGUGUCUGGGUUGGGUGGUUCUGCUGGGCUGUGGGAGCUGGGGCGACCAUGACAGUCAUGGGGAAGUCUCUUGUCGUGGUCCAGUCCGGGGGAGUAUAGGGGUCCCCUGAAGAUGUGAGUGAGUCGAGCCAGUGAAGGUGCUUAGCUCCAGCAGAGAGGGUCAGCUGAACAGGAAGCCGAGGCCAGGGGGCCAUGAGGCCCCAGCGAAGUCCUGGGUCAGGUGGAGAGGCCUGCAGGCACGCAGGUGACCCAGACCUUCACCGUCUUCGCUCGCUUAGACCAUGAGCUGACUGCAGUGCCUUUGCAGUGGGCCAGGAGGAAGAGCGGGCCGUGGACUCCGAGAGCCUGGGUGACUUCCCUGUUGCCCUUGGGCUCUGCAGAGGCUGAGGAAGCCGGAUCCACACCCCUGAUGGAAGGACCCGGUCUGUGGGCGAUUUGAACUCUGUGGUGACUGUCCUGGCUGAUGACCAGCCGUGCGAUCUUGAUCUUGGUCCAAUUCAACCCCUAGCCUGGGAACCUCCAUAUGCCAUGGGAGCAGUGCAAGAAAUAGCAAAAAAAUAAAAUAAAAGAGCAACCUGGAGCCAGCUGGAAGAGGCAUUGGCGAGAAUAAGAGGGUUGUAAUGCUGCAUCAGUGUCUUAAGAUCCUCAGCUCUCUCAGUGGAACGGAAGGAAGUGCAUCAAAUGCUACUCCGUGAACACAGGGCCUUUCAUUCUAACUUUCCGUGUUUUCAAGGACUUACUCCUCUGGGGAACUGAAGGCACAGCUUGCGUCUGAUAGGUGGACCACAAGAGUCAUUGACUCCAAGGGACCAGGGACCAAAGGAAGCAAUCACGGAGGAUGCUGUUCAGGACUUCACACCUGAGCCAAGCUGACAGAACCACACUGAGGCUGGGCCAGAUGGAGGGGGGCCUAGCUGGUCUGUGCUGAAGGAGUCUUCAGGAGAAGAAAGUGUCUAAAAAUUACAACUGUGCUGUGUGGAGACUUUGGGAAAAAAAAGUUUGCAAGUUUUGGGGCGGUUCCAAAUGAAGUGGGAACCUUGUUCCGAAUAAAUUGUUUUUUGUUUUAUUUUGUUUUCUUUUUUCAUCCUGAGGCACGUGGAAGUUCCUGGGCCAGAGAUCGAACCCUUACCGCAGCAGUGAUAAGGUCUGGUCCUUAACCUGCUGUGCCGCAGAGGAACCCCAUGAAUGAGUUUUUUUAUGAAUUAGGAGAGAUAAUUGACUUAAAUAUAUGCAUCUUCCUGAUUUCUUGUGGCAAAAAUAUCUUUUUUUCUUAUCCUUUUUGGGGAAUAAAAUAAAUGGAGUCU
rnacentral:lncRNA from 1 species